rnacentral:rRNA from 1 species
UACGGGGGGAGCAAGCGUUGUUCGGAUUUACUGGGUUUAAAGGGUGCGUAGGUGGGUUGGUAAGUCAGUGGUGAAAUCUCCGGGCUUAACCUGGAAACUGCCAUUGAUACUAUCAGUCUUGAAUACCGUGGAGGUCAGCGGAAUAUGUCAUGUAGCGGUGAAAUGCUUAGAUAUGACAUAGAACACCAAUUGCGAAGGCAGCUGACUACGCGAAUAUUGACACUGAUGCACGAAAGCGUGGGGAUCAAACAGG